rnacentral:rRNA from 1 species
AUGCCGGCCGCCGGCGACAGAGUCCACUACCGCGCCGCGCGAGCCUGGCCACCUUGUCUUCCUUUCCCCUUUCCCUUCUUCUUUCUCUUCUUUUCCGUCUCUGACGAGGAAAAAAAGGGCAGCGCCCUGAUGGGCCGCUCCGGCCGCCGUGGACGGCGGCGAGGGCCACUGCGCCGCGCGAGCCGUUCCCCUUCCCUCUCUUCUUUCCAUCCACCACCGCCCCAGCGCGAGAGAGACGCGAGCAGCGCGAGCAGAGCCUCCUCUGCUCCCCUUCACGUGAGCGACGACAGUUUCCAGAUGCGGCGCCCCCGCUGA